GGAUUAGGCAUGCAAGUCGAGCGAGAACCCCGCAAGGGGGGACAGCGGCGAAAGGGACAGUAAUGUGUAGAUUAUCUGCCCUCAGGUCCGGGAUAGCUGCGGGAAACUGCAGGUAAUACCGGAUAACAUCUCCGGAUCAAAGGUGUGAUUCCGCCUGAGGAUGAGUCUGCAUCCUAUUAGCUAGUUGGUGGGGUAAUGGCCUACCAAGGCAUUGAUGGGUAGCAGGUGUGGGAGCACGACCUGCGUCAUUGGGACUGAGACACUGCCCAGACACCUACGGGUGGCUGCAGUCGAGAAUCUUCGGCAAUGGGCGCAAGCCUGACCGAGCGACGCCGCGUGUGGGAUGAAGGCCUUCGGGUUGUAAACCACUGUCAGAGGGGAUGAAAUGCAGGUGGGUUCUCCCAUCUGUUUGACAUAGCCUCAGAGGAAGGACGGGCUAAGUUCGUGCCAGCAGCCGCGGUAAUA
rnacentral:rRNA from 1 species